rnacentral:antisense_RNA from 1 species
CUUCACCGACCCCAGCAGCAAAGGCCGAUCACGGUCCUGGCCGUAGGUCGCCAGCAGCGCCUGCGCCUC